rnacentral:lncRNA from 13 species
AUCGAGUUUCCCCUUUUGAUUCAUUAGCUUAGCCUUUUUUCUUUCUCGUCUUACACGCUAUAUGUAUAGGCUGCCCGAAAAUGCAAGCGUACUUCGGACAUUCGCAACAUAUUUUAUGCGCGAACGGAAACGAAUUAUAAAAUAGGUCAAUGCGCCCAAAUAAUUUUAAGCUAUUUGGAGUGUAUGAAGCGCUAGCGAUAAAACGUGAAAACAUUUCUCGGAAUUAAAAUCCAUACAAUUUUUGAGUGGGUUUGAUUUUUGGUACUUUACAACGAAAUUAUAUUUCACGUUUUUCUGUUGUCUGAAUGAAUCAUAAAAAUCAUUCGGUAUGAAUUGCAUCAAAACUUGGACUGGCCUGAAUCGAUAAAAAAUACACAGAGUUUAAACCCUGAACUUUUCACAUCGUUUCAUUUUGCCAGUUUUAAAUGAUUAGCCUGUUUCUGUUUGCACACCGCAGUAAUAUUACAAUAGAUAGUUUCAUAUAAAAGCAACAGAAUAAUAUUAAUAGUCAGUAUAAAAUAUAUAAUAUUGAAUAAUGAUAAUAAUGCUGAAAUAUGUGAGUGAGAUUAUCCUCGAUUAAAAAUAUUUAAUAAAUGUCCGAACUACGCGUACAUCAAAAGAUAUUCCGUACAGAAUUUCUAACUCGGUAUAUAGAUACACGGCUACGCGCCGAUUACAUAUACAGCAUCAUCUGGGAAUACCUAACUAUAUAUAUAUUAAGUUUGAUAUUAAAUAUUUACAGGGACAUCAUUACCCGGCCAUUCCGCUUGUUUGCGAGAGUAAGCUUAAGGAAUUGGAAAUCAGUUGGAGGACGCUCACGCAUCUGAGGAGCUUAGAGAGGAGAGGAGUGGAUCGUGUCCUUUGCUUCUGUGCGACGAUACGGCGAAUUAGAUUUCGGAUUCUAUGCAGGAAGCGAGGCAUGUCGAAAACUUAUAAGUCGUUCAAAGCGAACUUUCCCAAAGCGGAAGUUUCCUCCCACUGACAAUCGAGCAACUUCUCAUACAACCAGCAGGAUAUAGACAGCACACCCACAUACACAGAAAGUGUAAAAUAUAUUGAAGAUCAUGAUGCGCCAAGAUCAGCACGGUUAACCGAGGGUUGUUUCGGGUGCUCGAUUGGAACGUAGCGGCAAUAGAAACAUGCAGCGGUCAAAUUUGCAUACAGUGGUCGCAACUGGCUGUCGGGCUUCGCCGCCGUAAUAUUUAUGAGAUACGACUUCCUUCGAUUGUUUGUAAGUAGCCACGUAUAAGUAACAUAGUCAUUCUACGUUUUUCGAUCAUAGGUUUUUGCACUAAAAUCGCUGAUAGAUUCCGAU